CACACUGAGGCUCUUAUUCUGAAAAUCCUCCAUUACAUCGGGUCCCUGAACACACACUGAGGCUCUUAUUCUGAAAAUCCUCCAUUACAUCGAGUCCCUGAACACACACUGAGGCUCUUCUGAAAAUCCUCAGCUCAUCCUGAAUGUGCCGUAAACAAAGAAUAAAUCAGCAAAUAAAAUGUAUUUAUUCAUAAAAAGGAAUAAAUAAAUAAGUAAAUACUUUUAUUUUAAUAUAAAGAGAAAUAAUAUAUUUCUCUUUAUAUUAAAAUAAUGUUUUUACCUGAUGCACAAACCUUGAUGCAUUUCUCAGGUGACGUCGUCAGAGAGUCCUGACAGCCAAUCAGAAGCUGCGCUGCUACUCAGCUCCGCCCCUUUUUAUUUUCAGAUCUGUUCAAGUCUGAAAGGAAAACUCAGUUUCUCUGGUUAGGGUUUCUCUCAAAGGCGGCGUGGGGAAGCAACAAAAUACUUUUACUCAAGUACAAGUACUGAGGUACUUUCUUAAGUUACUGAGGUACUUUUCAAAGUUACUGAGGUACUUUUUUAAGUUACUGAGGUACUUUUCAAAGUUACUGAGGUACUUUUUUAAGUUACUGAGGUACUUUUUAAGUACACCUGGAGAUGAAAAUGUAGUUCUUAAAAAAAAAAGUGAAAUUCUAGUUUUUGUUGUAAUUAAACAAAUAAACUGAAAUAAAAUAAAACAACUUGAAAUUCCCAAAAAGUGAGAUUUUGCAAAAACAUGAAAUUCUUUAAAAAAUAUGACAUUUUGAAAUAAGAAAAACCUUAAAAUUCUGAAUAAAAAGGUAAAAUUCUAAGAAAAAAGUGAACAUUGUCAUAUUUUGUCAAAUAAAUUCAAAAUCUGAGAAAAAAAACGUAUUCUUAAAAAUAUUGAUUCUGAAAUUCAGAAUAAAAGGAAAUUCUGAGAACAAAGGGUUAUUCUGAGAACAAAGGGUUAUUCUGUGAACAAAGGGUUAAUCUGUGAAAAAUUCCUCCUCUGAAAAAACCCAGAAAACACUUAAAAUCAGCCAAAACUAAAUAUUCCAAAAAAAAAAAUUCUAAAGACACUUUUUUUUCUUUGUGUAUUUCCAUUUGUUGCUUCUUCAGUUUAAAUCAGUCCUUUAUUCUUAUACAUUUCUUAUACAUUUCUUAUACAUUAUUACACAACAGUUUAUACAGUAUGACAUUAGCUCUAAAUAAAACGGUGCUCUCUUAAAGCAUCUGUAUUUUUAUAUAUUAAACUCUUUUACUCAAUGAUAUGCAGAUUUCCUCCAGUUCAUCCGAAGCCUUUGAAGCGUUAACGAGGGUUCAAAGCGUUAACGAGGGUUCAAAGCGUUAACGAGGGUUCAAAGCGUUAACGAGGGUUCGAAGCGUUAACGAGGGCUCGAAGCGUUAACGAGGGUUCAAAGCGUGUUGUUGAGGCGAUGGAGGUUCUACAUGUUUGUGCCAAAAAAUAACCAUUUUUUAACAGGUUUUGCAAAACACGAGAAGUUUAAAUGAAUUCUCUGAUUGUUUUUAGAAGAGUUCAUAUUUACUGUGAUCAGACUUCUCUGAACUGUUGUUGUUGUUGUUUUCUUCAGUAAACAAAGACUCAUGAAGGUAUUUCCUCGACAGCGUGUCGGAUGUUUGUUUCUCUGAAGGUUUCUACGUGUUUGGUGAUAAAUCUGCAAUAAAUCAUGUUUUCUGAA